UGGGGAAUAUUGCACAAUGGGCGAAAGCCUGAUGCAGCGACGCCGCGUGCGGGAUGACGGCCUUCGGGUUGUAAACCGCUUUCGGCAGGGAAGAAGCCGUAAGGUGACGGUACCUGCAGAAGAAGCGCCGGCUAACUACGUGCCAGCAGCCGCGGUAAUACGUAGGGCGCAAGCGUUGUCCGGAAUUAUUGGGCGUAAAGAGCUCGUAGGCGGUUCGUCGCGUCUGCUGUGAAAUCCUCAGGCUCAACCUGGGGCGUGCAGUGGGUACGGGCGGACUGGAGUGCGGUAGGGGUGACUGGAAUUCCUGGUGUAGCGGUGGAAUGCGCAGAUAUCAGGAGGAACACCGAUGGCGAAGGCAGGUCACUGGGCCGCAACUGACGCUGAGGAGCGAAAGCAUGGGGAGCGAACA
rnacentral:rRNA from 1 species